AAUGGUGAGUAGUCGCGGCUCAUGUUCCACAUGAGUUGAGGAAAGUCCAGGCUCGCCCGGUGCUGAGAUGCCCGGAGUGUUCGUGCCAUCUGCAAAGGUGGGCAGAGAUUCAUUCUCUGACGGCGGAAAAAUCACGCUAAGUCCUCUUCUCGAGGAUAUGCUGAGAGUAUCCUGAAAGUGCCACAGUGACGGAGUUCUUCUGGAAACGGAAGAAAUGGAACGAGGUAAACCCCACGAGCGAGCAACCCAAACUAAGGUAGGGGCACCAUCCUGCGGGAACUAUGAACCAAAGGGAUGGAUCGAUGGUAUCUAAUCGAUAGUCAUAUGACUACACCUGCAGUGCGAGAUUGGCAUCGUUUGAGCACGCAGGAACAGAACCUGGCUUACAGCC
rnacentral:RNase_P_RNA from 1 species